rnacentral:rRNA from 1 species
CCUACGGGAGGCAGCAGUGGGGAAUAUUGCGCAAUGGGCGAAAGCCUGACGCAGCGACGCCGCGUGAGGGAUGAAGGUCCUCGGAUCGUAAACCUCUGUCAGCAGGGAAGAACGGUCACUGUGCUAAUCAGCAGUGCAUUGACGGUACGUGCAAAGGACGCAUCGGGUAAUUCCGUGCCAGCAGCCGCGGUAAUACGGAGGGUGCGAGCGUUAAUUGGAUUUACUGGGCGUAAAGCGCUCGUAGGCGGUAUGUCAAGUCAAGGGUGAAAUCCCCGCGCUCAACGUGGGAACUGCCGUUGACACUGGCAAACUUGAGUAUGUGAGAGGAUAGUGGAAUUCCAGGUGUAGGAGUGAAAUCCGUAGAUAUCUGGAGGAACAUCAGUGGCGAAGGCGACUAUCUGGCACAUAACUGACGCUGAGGAGCGAAAGCGUGGGUAGCAAACAGGAUUAGAUACCCCAGUAGUC